GAUUUUGAUAUGAUUCAAAUUGGAUAUUGAAAUGGACAUGAGAAAGUUCAAUUCUGGAAAAGAUGCCAUAAAACCCUUGCUGCUUGAAUUUUUGGUGGAAUUUUAACUUUGCUGCCCUGUUUACCUGAAUUGACUAGAAAUUUUAAUUGUGUGUGUUUGUUCUUUUGGGGCAGCCACUUUGGUAAAUUAAAUUGGUAUUAGAUGUAUGUUUGUUGGUUAACUCCAAUUGUAAGAUUAAAGUACUUUUGAUGGAAAAUACAAAGGUAUUUUCAAGGGGUCAAAAAAACAAAGGAAACUAGUUCAUU
rnacentral:misc_RNA from 1 species